UGUACCUGGGAAAUGACUUCAAUGGC
rnacentral:piRNA from 1 species